CCUACGGGCGGCAGCAGUGAGGAAUAUUGGUCAAUGGGCGCGAGUCUGAACCAGCCAAGUCGCGUGAGGGAAGACGGUCCGAUGGAUUGUAAACCUCUUUUGUCGGGGAGCAAAAGACGCCACGCGUGGCGUUCCGAGAGUACCCGAAGAAAAAGCAUCGGCUAACUCCGUGCCAGCAGCCUCGGUAAUACGGAGGAUGCGAGCGUUAUCCGGAUUUAUUGGGUUUAAAGGGUGCGCAGGCGGCAGAUCAAGUCCGCGGGAAAAUUGAGAGGCUCAACCUCUUCGAGCCGUUGAAACUGGUUUUCUUGAGUGAGUGAGCUGUAUGCGGAAUGCGUGGUGUAGCGG
rnacentral:rRNA from 1 species